AGCUCAAAUUUGAAAUCUAGCACUUUCAGUGUUCGAGUUGUAAUUUGAAGAAGGUAACUUUGGAAUUGGCUCUUGUCUAUGUUCCUUGGAACAGGACGUCACAGAGGGUGAGAAUCCCGUGCGAUGAGAUGUCCAAUUCUAUGUAAAGUGCUUUCGAAGAGUCGAGUUGUUUGGGAAUGCAGCUCUAAGUGGGUGGUAAAUUCCAUCUAAAGCUAAAUAUUGGCGAGAGACCGAUAGCGAACAAGUACAGUGAUGGAAAGAUGAAAAGAACUUUGAAAAGAGAGUGAAAAAGUACGUGAAAUUGUUGAAAGGGAAGGGCUUGAGAUCAGACUUGGUAUUUUGUGUUCCUUAUCCUUCUUGGAUUAGGUUCCUCACAGCUUACCGGGCCAGCAUCGGUUUGGAUGGCAGGAUAAUGACAUUGGAAUGUAGCUUUGCUUCGGUGAAGUGUUAUAGACUUUGUUGAUACUGCCUAUCUAGACCGAGGACU
rnacentral:rRNA from 1 species